AAGCACUUGUUUUAGUGGUUUGAAAGUCACUUUAAUAAUAAGAAGACACGGGUUCUAAUCCCGGUGUUCUCA
rnacentral:tRNA from 1 species